rnacentral:rRNA from 1 species
GACGAACGCUGGCGGCGUGCUUAACACAUGCAAGUCGAACGGAAAGGCCCUGCUUUUGUGGGGUGCUCGAGUGGCGAACGGGUGAGUAACACGUGAGUAACCUGCCCUUGACUUUGGGAUAACUUCAGGAAACUGGGGCUAAUACCGGAUAGGAGCUCCUGCUGCAUGGUGGGGGUUGGAAAGUUUCGGCGGUUGGGGAUGGACUCGCGGCGUAUCAGCUUGUUGGUGGGGUAGUGGCUUACCAAGGCUUUGACGGGUAGCCGGCCUGAGAGGGUGACCGGCCACAUUGGGACGGAGAUACGGCCCGGACUCCUACGGGAGGCAGCAGUGGAGAAUAGUGCACAAGGGGCGGAAGCCUGAUGCAGCAACGCCGCGUGGGGGAUGACGGCCUUCGGGUUGUAAUCCGCUUUCGCCUGUGACGAAGCGUGAGUGACGGUAAUGGGUAAAGAAGCACCGGCUAACUACGUG